rnacentral:rRNA from 1 species
CUACGGGAGGCAGCAGUGAGGAAUAUUGGUCAAUGGUCGGGAGACUGAACCAGCCAAGCCGCGUGAGGGAUGAAGGUACAGAGUAUCGUAAACCUCUUUUGUCAGGGAACAAAGGCGGGGACGUGUCCCCGGAUGAGUGUACCUGAAGAAAAAGCAUCGGCUAACUCCGUGCCAGCAGCCGCGGUAAUACGGAGGAUGCGAGCGUUAUCCGGAUUUAUUGGGUUUAAAGGGUGCGCAGGCGGUCUGUUAAGUCAGCGGUCAAAGCCCGGGGCUCAACCCCGGCCCGCCGUUGAAACUGGCAGUCC